rnacentral:tRNA from 1 species
AGGUAGAUCGGUUGCUGGUGUGCCGCGCGGUCUUCAAAACCGUUGUAGGGGGUUAAGAGCCUCCUGGGUGGGUUCGAUUCCCACCUCCU